rnacentral:lncRNA from 1 species
UAUCUUCCAAGUCAUUCUGUCCUAGAAGAAAACAACAAAUAGGCUCGUUAAAUUACCCACAGGUUUUAAUGAAGUUCAGAGCAACUCAAAAUGUCCUUUCCCAGCAGGAGUAGUCAAGAUAAACCCCAGGUAAAUUCUACCAAACGGCGAGGCAGAGCCAGCAGUGCCAUUCACUGCAGAAUACCUGAGUCUGGGCUCUGGGCCAUCACUGGCUAAGGACCCUACUGUACCUUCUGGCUUCACUCCAGCGGCAAGAAAAGAAAGCGCGCCGCCGAGCACACAAGCCAGGGUUAUGCGAUUCCAGCUCUCCAGAGUCUAACUUCACUCCUUCUUCUGUAGCUGAAUAAAAAACGUUGCCCUUUUCUGUUUAUUUGCACAGAGGCCCGUUUAACAUAGAGCACAGAGAGUGGGGGAACA